rnacentral:tRNA from 1 species
UGGGGUGUACCUCAGUGGCAGAGUGCUUGCCUAGCAUAUACAAGUCCCUGGGUUCUAUCCCCAGCACUGCAA